rnacentral:rRNA from 1 species
UACGUAGGGUGCAAGCGUUAAUCGGAAUUACUGGGCGUAAAGCGCGCGCAGGCGGUGAUGUAAGACAGUUGUGAAAUCCCCGGGCUCAACCUGGGAACUGCAUCUGUGACUGCAUUGCUGGAGUGCGGCAGAGGGGGAUGGAAUUCCGCGUGUAGCAGUGAAAUGCGUAGAUAUGCGGAGGAACACCGAUGGCGAAGGCAAUCCCCUGGGCCUGCACUGACGCUCAUGCACGAAAGCGUGGGGAGCAAACAGG